GAAAUGCGAUAAGUAAUGUGAAUUGCAGAAUUCAGUGAAUCAUCGAAUCUUUGAACGCACAUUGCGCCCGCCAGUAUUCUGGCGGGCAUGCCUGUCCGAGCGUCAUUUCAACCAUCAAGCCCCCGGGCUUGUGUUGGGGACCUGCGGCUGCCCGAAGGCCCUGAAAACCAGUGGCGGGCUCGCUGUCACACCGAGCGUAGUAGCAAUCACCUCGCUCAGGGCGUGCUGCGGGUUCCGGCCGUUAAACAGCCUUACAAAACCCAAGGUUGACCUCGGAUCAGGUAGGAAGACCCGCUGAACUUAAGC
rnacentral:misc_RNA from 1 species